rnacentral:rRNA from 1 species
GAUGAACGCUAGCGGCAGGCUUAACACAUGCAAGUCGAGGGGUAGAGGUUGCUUGCAACCUUGAGACCGGCGCACGGGUGCGUAACGCGUAUACAACCUACCUUUUACAGAGGGAUAGCCCAGAGAAAUUUGGAUUAAUACCUCAUAGUAUAUAACCUUCGCAUGUUGGUUAUAUUAAAGUUCCAACGGUAAAAGAUGGGCAUGCGUCCUAUUAGCUAGAUGGUAAGGUAACGGCUUACCAUGGCAACGAUAGGUAGGGGUCCUGAGAGGGAGAUCCCCCACACUGGUACUGAGACACGGACCAGACUCCUACGGGAGGCAGCAGUGAGGAAUAUUGGACAAUGGGCGCAAGCCUGAUCCAGCCAUGUCGCGUGCAGGAAGAAGCAUCUAUGGUGUGUAAACUGCUUUUGUACAGGAAGAAACACCCCGACGUGUCGGGGCUUGACGGUACUGUAAGAAUAAGGAUCGGCUAACUCCGUGCCAGCAGCCGCAGUAA